GAUGAACGCUGGCGGCGUGCCUAAUACAUGCAAGUCGAACGAAACUUCUUUAUCACCGAGUGCUUGCACUCACCGAUAAAGAGUUGAGUGGCGAACGGGUGAGUAACACGUUGGCAACCUGCCCAAAAGAGGGGGAUAACACUUGGACACAGGUGCUAAUACCGCAUAACCAUAGUUACCGCAUGGUAACUAUGUAAAAGGUGGCUAUACUACCGCUUUUGGAUGGGCCCGCGGCGCAUUAGCUAGUUGGUAGGGUAAAGGCUUACCAAGGCAAUGAUGCGUAGCGGAAUUGGGAGGGUGAUCGGGCACAUUGGGACUGAGACACGGCCCAGACUCCUACGGGAGGCAGAAGUAGGGAAUCGUCCACAAGGGGCGAAAGCCUGAUGGUGCAGCGCCGCGUGGGUGAAGGAGGUCUUCGGAUCGUAGAAGCCUGUUGUUAGAGAAGGAAGUGCGUGAGAGUGACUGUUCACGUUUCGACGGUAUCUAACCAGAAAGCCACGGCUAACUACGUG
rnacentral:rRNA from 1 species